AAUACGUAGGUGGCGAGCGUUGUCCGGAUUUACUGGGCGUAAAGGGCGCGUAGGCGGCCACCGCAAGUCGACUGUGAAAUCUCCGGGCUUAACCCGGAAAGGUCAGCCGAUACUGCGGGGCUAGAGUGCAGAAGGGGCAACUGGAAUUCUCGGUGUAGCGGUGAAAUGCGUAGAUAUCGAGAGGAACACCUGCGGCGAAGGCGGGUUGCUGGGCUGACACUGACGCUGAGGCGCGAAAGCUAGGGGAGCGAACGG
rnacentral:rRNA from 1 species